CCUCUGCUCUCUAGACACUGUGAGAACUGAGACAGUGGGGAAAAUCGGCCCUGCCCAUAUGGCAGAGAGCCAGUCAGUCCCGUGUGGUAUUUACUGGAGUUCCACCCUGAAAUAUGAAUGAUGGGAUAGAUCCUCAUUGGCCACAGAAAGGGGAAGUUGGGAUCUUUGUUGGAUGUUAGUUUGGUUUGUUCACUUAAAUCCAAAGUCUCUUUCUUGCUCUGUGUGUGUCUCUGAAAAUUGCGCUCAGGCUGUUCUAUUAUUUUUCCCAAAAGGUAAAAAACAGGUGUGUCUUCCUGAUGUCGCUGAGCUAUAGAGGAUUCUAAGGGAAAACAAAGAACAGAGAUUGAGGCUGAAGCUCACAUUUGGCUCAGAGGAGCCUGGCACUUGCUUUCCUUCAGGUUCUGCAAUAAAAUAUUGGGUGAAAUGCCAUCCCUGGGCAUGACAGUCUUCUGCUUUCUGCUUCUAAUUGUCACCACGUCUACCCAUGCUUUGAUGGAAGUUAAUUUUGACCCAUUCGUCUAUCUCUCACCUGAUGGCGAAAAUGGAACAAAAGAGAACGUCCCAACAGAGCUGCACAAGCAGAAGCGACAGGGUAUGUCAGCACUGGCGUUACAGCAGGUUUUCUUUAGGUAGCAGGGGAACAGGUCUCCUGGGUCAUU
rnacentral:lncRNA from 1 species